UUGGUUCUCAAUGAGAUGAAAAUGGGAAUCAGGUGGAAAUCCUGAGCAGUCCCGCUGCUGUAAGUUCCAUUGAAUGAAGACAAAAGACCACUGUCGGGGAAUAGACGGGAAGGUGUCUUCAGGGAACGAGCCAGAAGACCUGCCGUUGACUUA
rnacentral:ncRNA from 1 species